rnacentral:lncRNA from 1 species
AGAGCCGCGCACCAAGCCGAUGGCGGUGGACGCAGCAGGGCCCCGCGGUCUGAGUGCGGGCAGGCGCGCGUGGGCGUGUCUCCCUGGCCCACGCGUGUCCCCGGCAUCAGUGUCUCGGCUCUGGUCCAGGACGAAGACUUCUGAAAGCGAGCCAAGGAGAAUCACAGUUCUUAACGGAGCCCCUGACUGCCCGGUGGAAGGAGGUGAUUUAGAAGACAGUGAGUUGAUCUGGGGCAAAGUGAAGCAUCAGUAGCGCCUUCCAUCCCUUCACCUCACCUGGAUCUCUUCACUUCACUCCACGUCUGUCGUCUCCCAUGCAUGAAGCAACAUGGCCAAGUGAAGCUGCAACCAGUAAAGUGUAAGGUAUCAAGUAGUGACAAUGAUGGUGUCAAAUAAUUGCUAUUUUUAGACUCAGCUACUGUUCCCAUCGAGAUGCAAAGGACACAGAGCUCACGGGUGCUCCAGCAAUGCUGGUGUCAUGUUUGGAGGUAGCUGUCUAUGGACUACAGUAUUCUCCCAGUGCUAGUCUGCAGUCACUGCAAAGCCUCCCAAUAGAACAUUUCUUCCUGAGCCAACCUAUCAGUGCAGCUCUGGAAGCAAAUGACCUCUCCUGGCAGAGCCUUCACUGUGUGGGGAACAUCAGAUUUGUGUAAAGAAGAUCACCUGUCUCUUCUCAGGUGUGCACUGUAGAGAAGCUGCUGCGAAGGCCACAGGUCACUCAGGAAAAUUUGGGGCAGUUUUCUAGGUUCAAGGGAGACUGGACAUCAAAGCUGCACUGGGACAUAUGGACGCCUUGAUCCACUUUGGCCAUUCCACCUCAGCUCAGAAUUACUCACUGGUGUCAGCACAGGAUGUUUCUUGGCUUCAAACCAUUUGGAUAAGUGAUGGCAGCAAGCUUCGCCACUGUAAAGUCACCUCUUUAAAUCUUGAUGCCGUGCCGUGAACCCCAGCUCUCCUACGGGAAGAUGGGAGGCGUAGACAGGAGUUCAUCUGGAAGCUUGAGGCCAGCCACCCAGAUCCUCAGAGCUGCAGACAAAAGAGAGGCCCUGCAGCAAAAGAGUGGAAGGUGAGAACCAACUCCGGAAAGUUGCCCUCUGACCUUUACAAGUGUAUACAUCCACACACAUACAAUAAAAUCAAUUGCUCAAUCACGUA